GUGAGGAAUUUUCCGCAAUGGGCGAAAGCCUGACGGAGCAAUGCCGCGUGAAGGAUGAAGGCCUAUGGGUUGUAAACUUCUUUUCUCAGAAAAGAAUUAUGACGGUAUCUGAGGAAUAAGCAUCGGCUAACUCUGUGCCAGCAGCCGCGGUAAGACAGAGGAUGCAAGCGUUAUCCGGAAUGAUUGGGCGUAAAGCGUCUGUAGGUUGUUUAAAAAGUAUUCUGUCAAAGAUUAGGGCUUAACCCUAGAUAGGCAGAAUAAACUUUUAAGCUAGAGUUUGGUAGAGGCAGAGGGAAUUCCCGGUGGAGCGGUGAAAUGCGUAGAUAUCGGGAGGAACACCAAAGGCGAAGGCACUCUGCUGGGCCAAUACUAACACUGAGAGACGAAAGCGAGGAGAGCAAAUGGGAUUAGAAACCCCGGUAGUCC
rnacentral:rRNA from 1 species